rnacentral:rRNA from 1 species
AGAGUUUGAUCAUGGCUCAGAUUGAACGCUGGCGGCAGGCCUAACACAUGCAAGUCGAACGGUAACAGGAUAGCUUGCUAUCGCUGACGAGUGGCGGACGGGUGAGUAAUACUUAGGGAUCUGCCUCUGUGUGGGGGAUAACUAUUGGAAACGAUAGCUAAUACCGCAUAAUGUCUACGGACCAAAGCGGGCUUCGGCUCGUGCGCAGAGAGGAACCUAAGCGAGAUUAGCUAGUUGGUGAGGUAAAGGCUCACCAAGGCGACGAUCUCUAGCUGUUCUGAGAGGAAGAUCAGCCACACUGGAACUGAGACACGGUCCAGACUCCUACGGGAGGCAGCAGUGGGGAAUAUUGCACAAUGGGGGAAACCCUGAUGCAGCCAUGCCGCGUGUGUGAAGAAGGCCUUCGGGUUGUAAAGCACUUUCAGUUGUGAGGAAAGUUUAGUAGUUAAUACCUGCUAGAUGUGACGUUAGCAACAGAAGAAGCACCGGCUAACUCCGUGCCAGCAGCCGCGGUAAUACGGAGGGUGCAAGCGUUACUCGGAAUCACUGGGCGUAAAGAGCGUGUAGGCGGAUAGUUAAGUUUGAAGUGAAAUCCUAUGGCUCAACCAUAGAACUGCUUUGAAAACUGAUUAUCUAGAAUAUGGGAGAGGUAGAUGGAAUUUCUGGUGUAGGGGUAAAAUCCGUAGAGAUCAGAAGGAAUACCGAUUGCGAAGGCGAUCUACUGGAACAUUAUUGACGCUGAGACGCGAAAGCGUGGGGAGCAAACAGGAUUAGAUACCCUGGUAGUCCACGCCCUAAACGAUGUACACUAGUUGUUGUGAGGCUAGACCUUGCAGUAAUGCAGUUAACACAUUAAGUGUACCGCCUGGGGAGUACGGUCGCAAGAUUAAAACUCAAAGGAAUAGACGGGGACCCGCACAAGCGGUGGAGCAUGUGGUUUAAUUCGACGAUACGCGAAGAACCUUACCUGGACUUGACAUAGUAAGAACUUUCUAGAGAUAGAUUGGUGUCUGCUUGCAGAAACUUAUAUACAGGUGCUGCACGGCUGUCGUCAGCUCGUGUCGUGAGAUGUUGGGUUAAGUCCCGCAACGAGCGCAACCCUCGUCGUUAGUUGCUAACAGUUCGGCUGAGAACUCUAACGAGACUGCCUACGCAAGUAGGAGGAAGGUGAGGACGACGUCAAGUCAUCAUGGCCCUUACGUCCAGGGCUACACACGUGCUACAAUGGGGUAUACAAAGAGCAGCGAUACGGCGACGUGGAGCAAAUCUCUUAAAAUAUCUCCCAGUUCGGAUAGUAGUCUGCAACUCGACUACUUGAAGUUGGAAUCGCUAGUAAUCGUAGAUCAGCAAUGCUACGGUGAAUACGUUCCCGGGUCUUGUACUCACCGCCCGUCACACCAUGGGAGUUGAACUCAUUCGAAGCGGGGAUGCUAAAGUAGCUACCUUCCACAGUGGAUUCAGCGACUGGGGUGAAGUCGUAACAAGGUAACCGUAGGAGAACCUGCGGCUGGAUCACCUCCUUAAGCUUGGAAU